rnacentral:lncRNA from 1 species
AUUCCUCGGAUCCAGAUCCAUUUUUCCCCCACGCGAGUCUGUGGAACCGCUCCGAGCUGGGGAUUUCCCCGACCAGCGUCAACUCGCGCUCGUCGGACUGGAAAUCGAGCUUGAAGAUCUCGAGAUUAGCGGAAGAGCUAAAGGAGAGGUCCACCGCUCCGGCCAUGGUACCGGCGGCCAUGUAAGGAGCAUCGGGAGCCAGCGCCACGGAGGCGGAUCUGCCCACCCCCUUGAUGCAAGCCAUGAUAGAAUAAUUGGGAUCGGGGAGAGGAAGAAGAUUGAUGGGAUUAGUGUGUGACGGUGUAACGUUGUAAUUUGGGGUCUGAUAGAAAAGGAGUUACCAUUAGAGAUGAUGAAUGGCGAUGCCGAACAAAAUAAAUAUAUAUAUAUAUAUAUAUCUAAGCUACUUUAAAUCAAAGGAAAUUAUUAUCUAUAGAGUAUAUUACACUCAAGGUCAGUUUUAAGUUUUUUAUAUCAGGAUAAGUCACUUUGUACUCCUAGCACACUUUUUUCUAACAAAGCCAACUUGUAUUAAUUUAUCUAGUUUGUUUGUAAUUGGCUAUGCCUUAACUAAACAAACCAAAGACGUGCUUUUAGGCGGGAUGUUAUCACAGCCAUUGAUAUAUAUGUUUCACGAUCCAACAUCUCAGAUUUAGUAGAGAAAGUGUGACAUGACAUAUAUCUACCAUUACACACUAACCGUUGGAUUUUGUUGGUCAAUAUAGCAUCAACGGUUUUAUUGCAUUUUCUACACAAUUUAAUUUAUUUUCUUUCUCAAUCUUCACAUAUUCUUUAUGUUUACCUCUUUAUUUUUUCAGAUUUUAUCAUCUUUCAUCACAAUCAUAACAUAUUUUCCGGUCAAAUCUUCGAUGACGGAGGUGUAAUGAUAACGUAGAAGACAUCAACGGUAACGUAGACGACGACGAAGGGUACAACACCAUUCACAACGGCGAUGGUAACGGUGAUGUAGAUGACGGUCACACCACAGUGACGAAGAUGACAGUAGAAAUGUAAACGAAGAUAUAUGAAAAGGAGACAAUGAGACGUUGGCAACAUCGACGUAGACGACAGCAUAGAUACAAUCAACGUCAUGUGCUUCCCUCGCCUCCACGCGUGAUACUUUGGUCUCUUCGCUGGUGUUUUCUCCGGUCUCUCCUCCACCGUUCUCCACCGUCUCCACCACCGUUAUCAGUUCUCAACCACUGUUCUCCGAUGUCUUGUGUAUUUUUGCCACCGUUCUAUGGCAUCUCCGCCACUAUUUUCCGUUCUGAUUUACAUCCCCAUGUUCUUCUUUAAAUUCCCACAGGUAAUCUAAGGGACGAGAUAGAGGUGGAGAGGAGGUUAAACAAUGACAAUGAUUCUCAUGUACCAUGAUUCACAUCUAUAAUGAUUCUCGUGUACAAUGAUUCUCGUCUACAAUGAAUCAUUUUCGUGUACAAUGAUUCUCGUGUACAGUGAUUCACAUCUAUAAACAAUGACACUGAUUCCCGUGUACAAUGACAAUGAAACAAAAGUACAUUAGCUAUAAACAAUGACAAUGAUUCUCUUGUACAUGUGGAUAUCGAACUUUUGUGUAUAUGUGGACAUCAUUUGUACACAUGUAUGCCAUGAACAAUGAACAUAAUAAAAAAAAAACAAAAGCUAUAAUCUCUUAGUUUUAUAGUUCAUACAAGAAGAUCAAAAGGUAUGCAUGAAUAUUUUUGUUAUUAUUAGAUUGAAAGGCGACACCAGUUUUAAGUGUCCAUCUUUCACUUUUUCAUUUUAAUUUAAUGUUCUGUUUUAAAGUUGUUCUAUUCGCGAAAGUUGAUGUAUUUCUACAUUAAAAUGUAUUAAGGCUGUUCAAUUUGAUAUGCUAAAGCUUAUAUGUUUGGACUUAUCAGUGAGACAUGAUUCAAGUACAUAUGCACACCAAAAAUAUAUAAUAUUGUACAUGUGUACACCAAAGAUUGUACAUGUGUACACCCAUAAUUGUAUGUUACAGAAACAUUAUGUACACAAUCUUGUGGUCAUCUAAUGUACCAGUGUAUACGAACAAAUGUACAUACACAAAACACAAAUCAAGAAAAACAUUAGUAUCUCAUAGUUUGUUUACUUAAGAACAAGAAAAACAAAAUUACAUAUGUACAACUUACAAAAAACAUCCAAAAUGUACUAAACGUUACAUAACAAAAGCACAUACGUACAAUUAAUAUAAUGUUCAUGUGAAUGCAUAUAAUUAAGUGUGAUGGUAAAGGGGCUUGGCUGUAAUGAUCAAAAAGGGCUUGGCUGUAGAAUUCUUAGUCUUAGGUUUGAUUAACGUUCACGUCAUCUAAAAUUGCCCACCCAAGUGUACACUUAUCUAUCGUACAUGCACAAAAUGGUUAUUAUGUACAAGUCUACCAGCCCAAACAUAGCUUCCGUACGCGUGUACAGCAUGUGUGUAACGUACAUGUGUAUACUUAUUUCUUUGUACACACGCUACGAAUACACUAUUUACAAUAAUUUUCGGACACAACCUUCGUUUCCUCCACCCAGACAUCUCCGUUUCAGACUCCACCACCGCUACAUACAUAUCACUCCCAAUUAGUCUAUCCUAAUACUCAUAGUUUUCAUCCUUAUGGGAUAGGUGAAAAUCGAUGUUAUAACCAUCUUCAAACUCCCCGCACGGCAAUCCCAUCCUUCUCUGAACCCCACCAACGGGAACCGUAAUGGUUUCCUACCAAAAACCAGCCACAUCUCAUAUGUUUUUCUUACAAACGACUUGCCUAGUCAUCAUGCUAUGAACAAAUUUCCCCAUCAACAACCUCUGUGCUGGCAACUUGAAGAGCCCUCAAAGCAAGAACCUAUCAACUUUGCCAUCUCCAGUGUAUUGUUAAGCGCGUUUCUCACCCUCGAAAGAUAAUCGGUUGUAUUAACCCUCUUGUUAGGGAACCGGUCAGUUGCAAAAAGCCGUUCCGGCAGCAAUUCUUUUACAUCAUCCGCCUCCACCGUUUCUGCAAAACACAAGCAAAAAAGUAAAUUCACAUCGGUUCUUACUCCUGCAAAAAUCAACCAUCAGUAAUACAACAGCAAACUCACCUUCAUCGAUCUCCUUUCCACGCCGGCUCCAUCUCAUAGCCAUCACAACUCGUCUCUAAAUGUUGUUUUCACCGUAAAUCGCCUUCACCGCUUUUUUUCUCCUUCGUCAACUUUUGGUUUUCUCUCUCUGGUAGUCCUUGUUUUACAUCAUAUAUACUUCCACCGUCUCUGCAAAAAAAAAAACUUAAUCAGAAAAAGACAAAAGGUACAACAACAUCAAAAAAAAAAACAACCGCCACAUAACAAAUCGUCAUCUUUUUUCCUUUCCUCGGAUCCAGAUCCAUUUUUCCCCCACGCGAGUCUGUGGAACCGCUCCGAGCUGGGGAUUUCCCCGACUAGCGUCAAGUCGCGAUCGUCGGACUGAAAAUCGAGCUUGAAGAUCUCGAGAUUGGCGGAAGAGCUAAAGGAGAGGUCCACGGCUCCGGCCAUGGUUCCGGCGGCCAUGUAAGGAGCAUCGGGAGCCAGCGCCACGGAGGCUGAUCUGCCCACCCCCUUGAUGCAAGCCAUGAUAGAGUAAUUGGGAUUGGGGAGAGGAAGAAGAUUGAUGGGAUUAGUGUGUGACGGUGUAACGCUGUGAUUUGGGGCCUGAUAGAUGAAUGCCGAUGACGAAAAAAAUAUAUAUAUAUAUAUAUAUCUAAGCUAUAUCCAUCUUUGUAAAAAAAAUAUGCAAUACAUCUUUGUAUAUUACUAUAUCUAUUUAUAAUAAUUUCAAGUGUAUAUCUAUUCCUAAA